UGGGGAAUUUUGGGCAAUGGGCGAAAGCCUGACCCAGCAACGCCGCGUGAAGGACGAAAUCCCUUCGGGAUGUAAACUUCAAAAGUUGGGGAAGAAAUGCCGGAGGAUAAUACCCUUCGGAGAUGACGGUACCCAACGUAAGCCCCGGCUAACUACGUGCCAGCAGCCGCGGUAAUACGUAGGGGGCAAGCGUUGUUCGGAAUUACUGGGCGUAAAGGGCGCGUAGGCGGCACGGCAAGUCAGGAGUGAAAGCCCUGGGCUCAACCCGGGAACUGCUUUUGAAACUGCCGAGCUAGAGUGCGGAAGGGGCAACUGGAAUUCCCAGUGUAGCGGUGAAAUGCGUAGAUAUUGGGAAGAACACCUGAGGCGAAGGCGGGUUGCUGGGCCGACACUGACGCUGAGGCGCGAAAGCCAGGGGAGCGAACGGGAUUAGAUACCCCGGUAGUCCUGGCCCUAAACGAUGGAUACUUGGUGUGUGGGGUCUUCUCAGUCCCCGCGUGCCGGAGCUAACGCGGUAAGUAUCCCGCCUGGGGAGUACGGUCGCAAGGCUGA
rnacentral:rRNA from 1 species